GUAGGUGGCAAGCGUUGUCCGGAAUUAUUGGGCGUAAAGCGCGCGCAGGCGGUUCUUUAAGUCUGAUGUGAAAGCCCACGGCUCAACCGUGGAGGGUCAUUGGAAACUGGAGAACUUGAGUACAGAAGAGGAAAGCGGAAUUCCACGUGUAGCGGUGAAAUGCGUAGAGAUGUGGAGGAACACCAGUGGCGAAGGCGGCUUUCUGUCUGUAACUGACGCUGAGGCGCGAAAGCGUGGGGAGCAAACAGGAUUAGAUACCCUGGUAGUCCACGCCGUAAACGAUGAGUGCUAAGUGUUAGGGGGGUUUUCCGCCCCCCUUAGUGCUGCAGCUAACGCAUUAAGCACUCCGCCUGGGAGUACGGCCGCAAGGCUG
rnacentral:rRNA from 1 species